GCUGAGGCCCAACAAUGCUGUCCAGCUUCCUGCAGAACUCCAGCGUGGGCGGGAUCGAAGCUGUGGCAGGGAAAGAAAGGGCAGAGAUGGGAUUCCCUUCCCACAGCUGAAGGAUUAUUUGCAAAUAUGCCUCAAAGAGUUACAGAAACAGCAUCAGAAAGGCAGAAUAAUGCUAAGGAAAAGCUGUGCAGAUCAUCAAAGAAACAACAACAAAAUUCUUUCCACCUUCAGUUUGUGAGUAUCUUUAAAAUCCCUUUUUUAUUGCUGUGGGGAAGCCCCUUUCCUUUCCUGUCCAACAGUACAUCCAGACUAGUUUGGUGUAGGAAGUGGUGUACUAGAAGCACCUAAACUUGGGAGAGGGGUGUAGACAGGGAAUGUGUGCCAAUGUCUUGAUCCCAAAGGAAUACAAUAAACCAAGGAAGAGGAAUUCUCGUGAUGAAGGAUGUCCAAAUCCACAAUUACUCAAAAUUAUGUUGCCCGGGUGCUUAAGUGCAGAAUUCCCCACCCUGAUGCUGAGUACAGAGGAAAAGCAACUGGUAAAUCCUAGAUUAAAUCUACACCUUUGUCUGGAGUGCCUGGCUGAAAAGAAAUGACUGGAGCAAUUCCCAAAUUUGUCAGGCAGUGCAUUAAGAACAAUGGGAAGAAAAAUAAAUGUGAAAUUAUGUUAAUGAAGCAUUUUCUCUUUUUUCCAGAGGUUAGGUUUCACAUUGCAGCACCUACUGUGCAACCCUCUGGAAUGAACUGCGUGUGGGAUGAGAAGUUGAAGACACACAAAAGAAUUACUGAAGUACCUACCAGAUAAGCUGGUCAUUGUAGAG